CAGUCGCCGCGGUAAUACGUAGGUGGCAAGCGUUGUCCGGAAUUAUUGGGCGUAAAGCGCGCGCAGGCGGAUAGGUCAGUCUGUCUUAAAAGUUCGGGGCUUAACCCCGUGAUGGGAUGGAAACUGCUGAUCUAGAGUAUCGGAGAGGAAAGUGGAAUUCCUAGUGUAGCGGUGAAGUGCGUAGAUAUUAGGAAGAACACCAGUGGCGAAGGCGACUUUCUGGACGAAAACUGACGCUGAGGCGCGAAAGCCAGGGGAGCGAACGGGAUUAGAUACCCCUGUAGUCCCUGUCUCUUAUACA
rnacentral:rRNA from 1 species